GUGCCAGCAGCCGCGGUAAGACGAACCGUGCGAACGUUGUUCGGAAUCACUGGGCUUAAAGGGCGCGUAGGCGGCCGGGUUGGUCGUGGGUGAAAUCCCCCAGCUUAACUGGGGAACUGCCUACGAUACUGCCUGGCUCGAGGGAGGAAGGGGCGGUCGGAACUGUCGGUGGAGCGGUGAAAUGCGUUGAUAUCGACAGGAACGCCGGUGGCGAAAGCGGACCGCUGGCCCUCUUCUGACGCUGAGGCGCGAAAGCCAGGGGAGCGAACGGGAUUAGAUACCCUUGUAGUCC
rnacentral:rRNA from 1 species